UGCCAGCUGAGUUUUAGAUGCUCGGUAA
rnacentral:piRNA from 1 species